rnacentral:rRNA from 1 species
UACGGGGGGGGCAAGCGUUGUUCGGAAUUACUGGGCGUAAAGGGCUCGUAGGCGGCCAACUAAGUCAUACGUGAAAUCCCUCGGCUUAACCGGGGAACUGCGUCCGAUACUGGAUGGCUUGAGUUCGGGAGAGGGAUGCGGAAUUCCAGGUGUAGCGGUGAAAUGCGUAGAUAUCUGGAGGAACACCGGUGGCGAAGGCGGCAUCCUGGACCGACACUGACGCUGAGGAGCGAAAGCCAGGGGAGCAAACGGG